AGGUGAUCUGACAACAGCGAUAGAAACAGGAUGACCCGAAGACUACGUUAUUUAGAAGGAGAUGGAACACAGGAUUUAUAUUGGUUCCUGUUUUAGAUUCGGAGGAUGUGUUACGUCAGAGUGAGUCCCCAACGGCUAGCGUUGGUAUAACUUUACCUGCCAGCGGAGCCGGUACUUUCUGGACCAACCUUCACCUCGCAUUGUUGUUGACAGACGACAACAGAAAUGGCGACCCCCAGGUUUUCUGUGUUUGACGAGAGCGAGUUUUCGGACAUAUUGGAGGCAAAAGACAGUUGGAACACAAAAAAGCAGUACAGGCAUCCGUUACAUUGCUCUCUAGCUACCUCACUGAAAAGGGUUUGGACAUGGAAAUUCUCAAGAAUUUUUUUUUUUUGCUAAUAAAGUGUCCCAACUG